rnacentral:hammerhead_ribozyme from 1 species
CUCUAGCUGACGAAUCCUAAAUAGGAUGUAAUGCGCAUCCUGAAU